UACCAGCACCCCGAGUGGUCGGGACGUUUAUUGGGCCUAAAGCAUCCGUAGCCGGUUCUACAAGUCUUCCGUUAAAUCCACCUGCUUAACAGAUGGGCUGCGGAAGAUACUAUAGAGCUAGGAGGCGGGAGAGGUAAGCGGUACUCGAUGGGUAGGGGUAAAAUCCGUUGAUCCAUUGAAGACCACCGGUGGCGAAGGCGGCUUGCCAGAACGCGCUCGACGGUGAGGGAUGAAAGCUGGGGGAGCAAACCGG
rnacentral:rRNA from 1 species